UCUACAGCCCUACCCCGGCAAACACACAGACGCUAAUAUUAUUUGGCUUCUCCUGAAGAAGGGCACAGCUACACCGCCUUGUAGAUUCAACUUGCACCGCCACUUCUGGAAGGGAGCAUGAGUGAGGGGGGAAAGCGCCGCAAGGUGUACGGCUUCAAGGCUGAGCGCCAAGCCUUCUUUUCGAAAAAUAUCCGCCGGGCUUUCUUCGAGGAGGGUCGGCAAAAAAAGGAUGAGGAGCGCGCUCGCAUGGAGGCCUACCGAAAACUAUGCAAGGAGGAGGGGAUUGUGUCGAAGCGACUCGAGGACUACGACCGCACGCGCAAGGCGGCCAAGGAAAAUCUGAGCAGCACUCUUGAGCAAGUCGACUAUGACCAGAGUCUCACGAACAACGAAAAAAAGAAGCGUAAGUACAACCUGAAGCGCAAGUUCGCGGCGACGACGGUCAACGACCUCAUUGACAAGCAGCAGAAGCGCUACAGCGCUGUCUCUGGAAUGGAGGAGGUACAGCGCAGGCGCCAACAAGAGCGAGAGGAGAAGCAGAAGGCGCGCCAGGAGCGCGAGCGACAGAAGCAGUCGCGCGUACAAGCACGCAAGUCGCGCAACGCGCUCUUUGCCAAGCGGACCAAGAAGGGGCAGCCGGUUAUGUCGAGCCGUGUGGAGUCUCUUCUGCAGAAGAUCAGCCGGCAAUAAGGGGCAGCUGUCGGUAAUCGUGGUUGUAACGAGCGUUGAAAAAAAAAAAGACAGCUCGCAAGGACGCUACACACACACACACGCAGACCGGCACGCAGGCUUUUCACAAACGUCACCGUGAAAAUGCCCCCCUCUGAGGGCAGCUGGCCUUUUCCGAACACCCCCCCUUUCCGCUUCCCCUUCCCUUUCCCGGCGGCACCGCGCUCUGCUGUGCUACUCCUCUGUCCAACCUUUAGUGCGCCUUUUUUUCGUUUUUUUUUCGAGUUGGAUGAUCACAUCGUGGUUGUACACGACAUCAUGGCCGCCAUUCUUGUCCUCACUCUUGUCCCUUCCCCUCCCCGUUCCUUUCUCAUGCCCAUGCUGAACGUGCACACGAUCCCGCCCCCUUUGGUAUCGUCUUUGUCGUCUGGCCGCUCCAAG
rnacentral:misc_RNA from 1 species